AGAUUGAACGCUGGCGGCAGGCCUAACACAUGCAAGUCGAGCGGCAGCGGGAAGAUAGUUUACUAUCUUUGCCGGCGAGCGGCGGACGGGUGAGUAAUGCCUAGGGAUCUGCCCAGUCGAGGGGGAUAACAGUUGGAAACGACUGCUAAUACCGCAUACGCCCUACGGGGGAAAGGAGGGGACCUUCGGGCCUUCCGCGAUUGGAUGAACCUAGGUGGGAUUAGCUAGUUGGUGAGGUAAUGGCUCACCAAGGCGACGAUCCCUAGCUGUUCUGAGAGGAUGAUCAGCCACACUGGGACUGAGACACGGCCCAGACUCCUACGGGAGGCAGCAGUGGGGAAUAUUGCACAAUGGGGGAAACCCUGAUGCAGCCAUGCCGCGUGUGUGAAGAAGGCCUUCGGGUUGUAAAGCACUUUCAGUAGGGAGGAAAGGUARUARYUUAAUACGUUAUUACUGUGACGUUACCUACAGAAGAAGGACCGGCU
rnacentral:rRNA from 1 species